UACGUAGGGGGCAAGCGUUAUCCGGAUUUACUGUGUGUAAAGGGGGCGCAGACGGCGAUGCAAGCCAGGAGUGAAAGCCCGGGGCCCAACCCCGGGACUGCUCUUGGAACUGCGUGGCUGGAGUGCAGGAGGGGCAGGCGGAAUUCCUGGUGUAGCGGUGAAAUGCGUAGAUAUCAGGAGGAACACCGGUGGCGAAGGCGGCCUGCUGGACUGCAACUGACGUUGAGGCCCGAAAGCGUGGGGAGCAAACAGG
rnacentral:rRNA from 1 species